rnacentral:rRNA from 1 species
CAAAAAACCAUGUCCUAUAUGUAAUGUGGGUUUAUAUAAGUUGGCCUGCCCCACUGAUAAUACCAAUUAAAGGGCCGCGGUAUUCUGACCGUGCGAAGGUAGCAUAAUAAUUAGUCUCCUAAUUAGAGGCUUGUAUGAAUGGUGGGACAAGAUGGGAACUGUCUCGGUGCGAAAAAUAAAAUUUAACACUUAAGUAAAAAGGCUUAAAUAAUAUGGGGGGACGAUAAGACCCUAUAAAGCUUUAUGAUAAGGCCUUUUUGUAAAGAAUUUCUAUUGUGAAAUUACUAAGGGGGUUUAUAUUAUUUUACUGGGGCGGUAAAAGUAUAUAAUUGAAUAACUGCUUUUAUUAUUGAAAACAAUUAUAAUUGAAAUACAAAAUGAUCCAUUAUUAAUGAUUAUAAAAACAAGUUACUUUAGGGAUAACAGCGUAAUAUUUCUUGAGAGUCCUCAUCGAAAGAAAAGUUUGCGACCUCGAUGUUGAAUUAAGGGUAGCGUUAAGGCGCAGCAGUCUUAAAAGCAGAUCUGUUCGAUC